rnacentral:rRNA from 1 species
GAGCUGUCCUUAGUACGAGAGGACCGGGAUGGACACACCGCUGGUGUACCAGUUGUUCCGCCAGGAGCAUCGCUGGGUAGCUAUGUGUGGCAGGGAUAAACGCUGAAAGCAUCUAAGCGUGAAGCCCCCCUCAAGAUGAGAUUUCCCAUUUCUUCGGAAAGUAAGAUCCCUGAAAGAUGAUCAGGUAGAUAGGUUUGGAGUGGAAGUGUAGCGAUACAUGGAGCGGACAAAUACUAAUCGAUCGAGGACUUAACCAAAAA